rnacentral:rRNA from 1 species
UACGGGGGGAGCAAGCGUUGUUCGGAUUUACUGGGCGUAAAGGGCGCGUAGGCGGCCAGCGCAAGUCAGUUGUGAAAUCUCCGGGCUUAACUCGGAAAGGUCAACUGAUACUGCGCGGCUAGAGUGCGGAAGGGGCAACUGGAAUUCUCGGUGUAGCGGUGAAAUGCGUAGAUAUCGAGAGGAACACCUGCGGCGAAGGCGGGUUGCUGGGCCGACACUGACGCUGAUGCGCGAAAGCCAGGGGAGCGAACGGGG